UGAGUCAUCCGGGUGACCGCGGCGUAGCAAUACGCUGAGGAAAGUCGGGGCUUCACAGGGCAGAGUGCUGGCGAGAGCCAGGUUGGGGAAACCUGACGGACAGUGCAACAGAGAGCAAACCGCCGAUGGACGCGAAAGUGUCACAGGUAAGGGUGAAACGGUGCGGUAAGAGCGCACCAGCAUGCGAAGUGAUUCGUGUGGCUUGGUAAACCCCAUUCGAAGCAAGACCAAGCAGAUGGAGGGUGCCCGCCCGCCGCAAGGCAAUCCAUCGGGUAGGUCGCAUAGAGGGAUGGUCACCACUCGUUCGCGAGUACAGAACCCCGCUUAUAGGGUGGCUCACCGU
rnacentral:RNase_P_RNA from 1 species